rnacentral:rRNA from 1 species
CAGCAGCCGCGGUAAUGCGAAGGGUGCAAGCGUUAAUCGGAAUUACUGGGCGUAAAGCGUGCGUAGGCGGUGAGUUAAGUCUGCUGUGAAAUCCCCGGGCUCAACCUGGGAAUGGCAGUGGAUACUGGCUCGCUAGAGUGUGUCAGAGGAUGGUGGAAUUCCCGGUGUAGCGGUGAAAUGCGUAGAGAUCGGGAGGAACAUCAGUGGCGAAGGCGGCCAUCUGGGACAACACUGACGCUGAGGCACGAAAGCGUGGGGAGCAAACAGGAUUAGAUACCCGCGUAGUCCCUGUCUCUUAUAC